GAACACAGAUUUUAGAGGUAUUAACUUCUGCAGCUUUAUGCAAGUUCUGCUUUAUUUGAUUCAGAAUUUCCCAAUACCACGGAAGCAAAGGCAAUGAAAACAGGUUUUCUCUCAAUGUCUUCAGAAAAAAAAGUUCUAUCUAUAGUAGGCCAUCCAUAAACACUUGGUUAAUGGAGUAGUUACAGAAUAUAAAAUUAAUUUACAUGGCAUCAAGCGCAGCAUUAAAGCUAGAAGGAAGUUUGUAAUUUAUUUUGUAGAAAUGAUUGAUCUGGGGGAAGACACGGAGUGUUCCGGUGAGAUUUCACAUCUACAGGCAAACAGAGUGGUUUGAGAACAUGACCAAUAGAAUAAAAAACGUGUCUCCGUUUCCUCUCCUUGCCCAAAGAAUCACUGUUUCUCCUGGUCUCUCUAGGCUACUUCCAAACACAAUGGUACAAGGCACGUCACCCAAGCCAGCAAGUGUAAGGCACUGUAUUUGGGUAAAAACAACACAAACUACACUGAGAGGAUGACAGAUUGUGAGAAAUCAUAAAAUAUGUCGUCACUGAAAGCCACACAAAAAACGAUUCUCUGUACUCAAUAAAAUACCGGCUACAUCAAAAGUAAAGUGAAAGGCCACAGCUCCUCCGGUGUAGAAAGUCCUAAUACACGCACACCGUGCACACUCCAUGCAAGGUCCACAGAUCCUGUGGGGAGACCAUACAGCAGGAGGUGGCCCAGAAGAAGGGGCCUAAAAAGGUCAAAGAGAUGAAGAAACCACCUGAGGACAGUUUAAAAUCUGGGUAACAGGGCCAUCAUCAAGCAGAGACGUGACACUGGGGGAAGAGUGGACACAGCGCAAACGCUCACCAUAUCCCGCUAGGCGCCCCGCAGGGCAUUUUCUGAUGGAGAUCAAUUCUGUUAGGUGUAACUGUGAUGGUUUGCUGAAUAUUAAUCACAGGCCGGGAUCUGAAGACAAAGGAGUGAAAAAACAAGCUCAGCCCUUUGCUACUUGGAGACAGCUACUAAUUUCUAAGAUCCUAACUACAAGCAUACUUCGGAGAUACUACAGGUUUGGUUCCAGAUCACGGCAACAAAGCAAAAGGAUUGCAAUGAAGGAGUCACUUGAAUUUUUUGGUUUCCUAGUGCAUAUAAAAGUUAUGUUUACACUAUACUGUAGUCUAUUAAGUUGCAAUGGCAUGAUGUCUUAAAAAAACAAUGUACAUGCCUUAAUUAAAAAAUACUUUAUUAGCAGAGCAGCUCCCUCGCUGCGAUCUAUUCAAAGUCAGCCCUCGACACGAGGGUUUGUAGAAAAAGAAAGAAGAGAAAAAAAAGAAGAAAAAAGAAACCUUUAUUGCCAAAAAAAAAAAAAAUGCUAACCAGCAUCUGGGUCUUCAGGAAGUCGUAGCAAUAAUAUCAAAGAUCAACCAUAAUGAAAAUAAUAAUAAUGAAAAAGUUUAAAAUGUUGCAAGAACUACCAAAAUAUGACACAGAGACAUGAAGUGAACAAAUGAUAUUAGAAAAAUGGCACCUCACCACAAACCUUCAAUUUGUUAAAAAAAAAAACCAAGAACACAGUAUCUGUGAAGCGCAAUAAAGCAAAGUAUGAUAAAACGAAGUACGCCUGUAGAUAUGUUCUUAAAGUCUUGAGAGCAUAUUUAAAAGGCAAAAAUUCACAAAUAUUUUAAAGCCAGUUGCUACAGAUGCUGGAGUGUUUUACAUACAAUACUAUUAAGUAAGGCUUUAGUGCGGCAUAAAUUUCAAAAGGAAAUAUUUUAACACAUACUUCUGCCUAAAUCCUAUUUUUAUUUCUGUUUUUAAACAUACACACACAAUUCUGAGUGCACAUUAUAUAUGAAUCAUAAAAAAUGUCUUAACACAUAAAGCAAAUCUUAUGGCUCAGCUGUCUCAUGUUUAAUUAGCAUUUAUUUAUUAAGUACCCUGAAGUACUAGUAUAAUUUAGUGGGGAGAAAUGCCCAGGGACUGAAGUUGGGAAGAUUUAGGUACCACACCCUGUUCUCACAGGAUCCAGCCUUAAAAGUUCAAGCAAGUCCUGGGCCUCCAUUUUCCUUGUUUGUAAAAUAAGGGAGUUACCUUAUUUCUUAUUAUCUUAUUAUCAAAGGCUUUUGAAAUUUAUUUUCAUACUAUCUAUGAGGAAUGAAGGAACACAUUUACAGGGUUCACAGUCAACCUACUUAUGAGGAUGGGAAAGUAAGGAUAUUAAAAUAUCAAUUACAUACAGAGGCAAAUAUUUAAUUGGCUAAAGUCAGGUUAUCUACUGGGAAAGACGUCGUAACCAAAUUUUGUUACAGAAAUUCAAGUCUUCUUGACACCUGAGGUCUAUGCCUCAAACUAGAACUAGAAGUUCAAAUUGCUUUCUGCUGGAAACUUGCUAAAAUACUUGAAUGUUAUGCUAUACUCUUCCACCUUUUAAAAAUGUUGAGUAUUUUAAGGUUAAUACCUAACACUUAUAUGUACAGAGAGAAACAAGCAUAUAAAGGUAGUAACACACAUUCAUUCAGUUAACUAAAUUUUUUUUUUCUUCUUCCUUUGGCCUCAUAUCCCAGAUACAUUUUUCUCCACUGAUUUUCACAUCUCCUACUUUUGUCAUCUGUAACGUCUCUUGUGGUUCUUAGUUUUCAUAUAAAAUGGCUUUCAUAGAUCUUGCCAUUUAACUAGAAAACUAUUUUUCUAUAGUAUUCUAUACUACAUUAUAUAAACGUGCAGUAUAUUCUAGUUUUUUUAAAUAGCCUGCUCUUCAGAGGUGUCCUGGUGUCGUUUUCCUACCCCCAGGGGUCUUGCUUAGGAUUCUAUUUAGACAUAGAGGCCACAUCUACACUUGCACCUUCUGGAAGAACAAAGGGCAAUGAUGGCACCAAGUGUACAUACGGCACAGAUUUUCUUCUUUUAGGGUUUCAUUGUACAUCACUGCCUAUUUCUUUAAAGACAUUCUUUAGAUAAAAAUGACUAUAGAGGGCUUCCCUGGUGGCGCAGUGGUUGAGAGUCCGCCUGCCGAUGAAGGGGACACGGGUUCGCGCCCCGGUCCGGGAAGAUCCCACAUGCCGCGGAGCGGCUAGGACAGUGAGCCAUGGCCACUGAGCCUGCGCGUCUGGAGCCUGUGUUCCACAACGGGAGAGGCCACAACAGUGAGAGGCCUGCGUACCGCAAACAAAACAAAACAAAAAAAGACUAUAGAGCCAAAUAGUUUAAAAAAACAAACCCCAAUGGUUCACUCUCACCAAUGAGCAAAGAAAUGCAAAUUCACUCAAAAGAUGAGAUCACAUAUAUCACACUGGCAAAAAUUAAAUAGAUUCAUCCUGUUCAAUGUUGGUAAGGGUGUGAGAAAAUGGGCCCUCUAGCAGGUUAUUGUGAGCAUAAAUCGCUAGCACUUUUCUGUGGGUAUAUGUAUCAAUACAAAAAUGUGCUAACCUCACCCCAGCAAUUCUAUUUCUAGGAAUUUUUCUUUAAAACAAUCCAUUACAUAGAGAUACAUACAAUAUACUGUAUAGCACACUGUUCAUAAUAGAUAAAAGUCAAAGACUGUCUAAAAAUUCCAUCAACUGAGGAUUCAUUAAAUGCAUAUUAUGGAAUAAUAUUAAGUUGUUAGAAAGAGUAAGAUUGAUGUAUCUGCAUUAACAAGGAGAGAUAACUGAAGAGAUUAAUUUUUAAAAGCCAGAAUAGAGACCAGCAGUUAUAGUAUGGCCUUUUGAUGAUACCCUAGAACUGGAGAGAGACUCAAAACUAUUAAAAGCUGUUUCGUGGAAGAAGAGAAUAUUGGGGAACUUGCACUUAACUGAAAUUCUGUAUUAACCUUUUUUUUUUUUUU